UCGAUUCCUUAAGAACGAUUCUAAGGGUGGAAAGCUAGUGAAUUGUGACGACUUUUUAGAAAUAAAUAAAAUUGUGAGAAGAAAACAGAGUGAUCAAUAUUCCGAAAAAAAACCAGUGACCAAGCCGGGGGGCCCGCUACAAGUGGUGACAGCGGAAAAGCGUUUCUUCAAAACGCAGGCCGCCAGAAAGAUAGACUGAGUGAAAAAAAUGUGAAUCUUGCAGUAGAAGAAAAUAGGUGAGCAUAAGAAAGUGUAUCCAAAACUGAAGAACACCCCACAAAGUGAACAUAUAAUUGUUGCACGAAAAGCCAUUACAAAAAAAAAAAGAAGAAGCACCAGUGCGAAUCAUCUACUUGAGAAGAACUCUUGAAUCGUGAGCAGUGUGAAGCUGAUCGCUUUUCCGCUACAAACAUUUCUGACUGAAAAAAAGGGAAAGAGCAACGAAAACUGACUGAAAAGUGGAGAUAAAGUGAAAAUUAACUGGAUAAAGAGACUCAAAAAAAAAAAUCGUCAGGAAAGUGAAAAUAACAAAAAUCACUUCGUGUACUUGUUGAUUUCAGUGUAGAGAAGAAAAUUGAAGAUCCCAGACCCAACUGAGUACUACUGACGAACUUUCAGUUAUUGUGUUUAACGCCAGUAUCAGAACAAAUAAGAUCCUAAAUGCAAAUCAUUCACACGAAUAAAACUCUUAAACCGCGGUCAGUUAGAACGUGAAGAAAAAAAAAAGUGCCCCUAACUGUGUUAUAACUUGAUCAUCAAUUGAUCAUCAAGAAGCAAAUAGCUUCACCGGAACCAGGAGUAAGAAUCAACUAGGAUGGCGAAAAUCAACUGGAAAAUAUUAAUAUUCAUCCAACUGGCGUGGUUCGGGAGCGGAGAAUUCGUCCUAAAAAAAAUUAGAAGAAGGACUCAUCAGAAAGGGAACGUACUACGUUAAGAUCCUGCCUGCAACCUCAAAAGAAAGGGGGGAGGUCACCAAGCGAGAAAGAACAAACCUUACAGAUGGAGACGGAUAACGGAUCAGCACAGAAAGAAGGUAUCCUAGAUAUAAGAAAAUGAAAAAUUUUACAACUUGAGAAAUAAAAAAAAAAAUUAAUAAAUCAAAACUUGAACUGCAAAAACAAAACAAACUAAAAACAAAUUGACUUAAAGUUGAAAGUUUCACGAAAUUUUAAGAAAAUGAUUUAUUUUACUUCGUCAAACAAAUAAUGCUAGAAAAACACUAUUCUUUGACAUAUUUAAAGUUGUAUAUAUUACACGUAGAAGGUAUGAAAGAUAAUGUAUAAAUAUUGUAAGCUCAACCGAAAACAAAAACAAAAAGGAAAAAGAGACCAACAAAAUCCACAAAAGAUAUUAAAAUCCUUUAAAACUGAGCAAAACGAAAAGAUGUGAGAUUUCCAAAAAAAAAACACAACAAAUAAAUAAUAGAAAAAAAAUAUAUAUAUAUUGGGACUCACCAAACUGUAGAUAGUAGGAUAGUAGAUAUGAAUAGUUCUACCAUAUAGUAGGAAUAAAAUACAAUAGAAUAAUAUAGAAUAGGAAAAUAGGUCAUAGGCAGCAGUAGUCCUUUGGAGUGUACACUGUUCCACCGAAGGAGAGUGAAAGUAAUCAUCGGGAGCGCCAAAGAAGGAAGACAGUGGAACAAAGAACGUGUAAUGGUUGACAUCUAGAAUUCGUACAAAUCAACACCCGUCGCGUCUUGAUCGAAUAACCAUUCUUAUGUUGAGGUAGAUGAUGUAAAAGGGAGGAAUGAUGACGUAAACAUAGCACGAAAUGGAGAUGUGACAAGCUGGAGCUGAAUAAUAGAUGAUUAUCCAAGAUAACGGUUAUCCAAGAUAACGAUUAUCCAAGGUAACAAAGAAAAAAAAAUGACAUAUUAAUGUCUUAAGUAAACAAUUUUACUUUGAACUUGGUCAGAAAAGCCAAUAUGAUAUAACGGACAAAUCGAACAUAGCUUAGACAAGAAAGGCCAUUGG
rnacentral:lncRNA from 1 species